rnacentral:lncRNA from 1 species
GGGAAAGGUACUGCACAACUAUUCACCCUUUAUAUAAACAGAUUUAAUGGUAAGCAAAGCCUGGUUUAUUUUUUCUCCAUCAAAAUACAUUGACUGUUGGAAUAGGCAUUUGUAAAAUAUCAUUUAUUUGUGAAUAUUACAGGGCUUUGACUGUGAUAUGGGUUGUCGAAUGGCAACUGGAAGAAAAAGCAAGAAUUAAAAAAUUAACUAUUUGAAGUCAGAGUGAGGCUAAUAUCUGAGCUUCUCUUUACCUGUCACUAUAUCCUUUUAGGUACUUGGAAAAAAACAAAGCCCACAGCUCUACCUACAUGAUGAGGACAGAAGGGAGGAGGGAAAAGAAGGAAAUAGUAAAUUAAACAAAAUGGCCAAAUGUUACCUGUCGCCAGUAGGUUAAAAAUGGAGUUGCUCUAAUUUGGAGCUGAUAUUUAUUACUGGGAGGCUGGAAAUAUCAGUUAUGUAAUAGCUGAUGGUAUGAGCAUUGAGCAUACACAUUUAUUCAGUGUUACUUAAAUUAUUACAGAAUGCUUACUAAAAUUAUUCUGAACAGUACUGUGUUCAACAUUACUGCUUCAAGGUGGCAUUUCUUUUGUGGAAACCAUUGGCAGUUUUAAUUUAUAUAAACAGUAGGAGCCACACUUUUGACAGGGAUCUGGAUUAUUAGUAAGCGGAUAGGUAGCUAUAUAUUCUAGAACCUGUAGUUGUCUCAGGGGUGUGGGGGUGGGGAGCUUUGCUUGGCAAAAUUCUGCUGCAAUUUCGUCUUGAAAUGAGGCCCCCUUUAUGUAAAUUUUUACUGGCGCCAGCUAGCUGUAACUGCAGUCUGGCUCAGCCUCGGCAGCAAGUAACAUGUGUCAUGGACUUGCCUCUGCAUGGAUUACAGGAGCAUUCUGGUGCCUGAGUAGGAAGAGCCACGCUGAUGAAUUCGAAAAGGAUGUACAAGAGAACCUAGGUGUGGUUAGAUUGCUGAUGUCUGAAAACAUGGAUGAUUUUUUCUGCCUGCUUCUUUAUUUUAAGUAUACAGCUUCUGCUGAGCUGUAAUAAAUUUAUGCUUGUUGAUACUACUGUGUGGUAUGUGGGAGGUACCUCACUGCACAUAGUUGCUGCAGUGCUAAUAGUUGGCAACGCAGAAGGCAGCACAAAGAGUUCCGGCUGUGGACACUUGCAGUUGCAACAUUCACUUGGAGGCUGUGGCAUGCUCACUGAGCUGCAGCGACACGUUGAUUCACUUGUGUGGAUAAGUGGCAGUUCCAGCAUGCUUUAACAAGCGGAUGUAGGCUACUAGCAGAGAGAUACAAUAGCAUAGCUCAGUCUGGAUAGAAAAUAAUACUCAUGCUGCUAUAUAAAUAAAAUAAGAUCUUAGUAUCAAGAUGGCUGACCUGGAAGUCUACUUGUAGCUCUUGUUUCUUAUGCAAAUGAGCUAAAUGUCAGUGGCUUAUUCAGAGGAGGAAGUUCAUUUUGCACGUGUCAAGUUCUCCACAGGAAAUCCAGAAGGACCACCCCUUUCCUAUCCCAAAAGUCAGUGCACAUCACUUUACCUGCUGAAGGCUGCAUCUUGAACUUGUUCUUCGAUGGGGAAUUCACAUCUCACCGUUCCAUGGACUCUUGUUUCGCCUCUGGCUAGUGGUGGUGACACCAAAUCUAGUCACCAGAAAUUAUGUCAAUCUAGUGAACUGUCACUGUCAGCCUCAUAUUGGUUCUGACAAACUUGCAUACAGUAUUCCUUCUGUUCCUGUGAGCGUCUGUGAGACACAGCUUUGCAGUAUUCCAACACUGCCACCAUUGAAACAUAAAGCUCUUUCAGUCUUUCCAGUGCACUGAAGCCAAUAGGCUGUUAGUACACUGCUCCUUGGUCAUAAUUUAUGAAUUCGUGAGGAUGAACUGAUUGAGGUACUCUUCGUUUUGUGGUGUGGCAGCUGUUCAUGGUCAUCUGAAAUGUGGUUUGUCUUUCAUGUUACUGUUGACAUUGCUGAAAAGCACUGUGCACUGCACUACUGUGCUCACAUGCACUGUUUGAUCUCCAUAAAUGUUAAACAAGUGUUGGUCAGUCUCAGUGGGUGCCAAUUUUUUCUGCAUGGACAAGUUCAGUGACACACCUUUGCUCAUACACACUUCCACAUCAGACACCAUUUUGUUAGACCACCUCUCUGCUGCCAUCUGUCACAUGGCAACAAAAUGAAAUGCAAUACUGUUGAAAAGAUAAAGCCUCUACUGCCAUACCACCACCAUCUGCCUCUGACAUCCUAGGCCAACAUAAUAAAAUAGAAGGUAUUAUUUUCAAAGCAAUUCUAGAAUAAUUUAGGUUGGAGUGAAUCUCUAAUCUGGCAUCUUCAAAGGAUGGUAAUCUUAAAAUUAGAUGAGAUUACUUCAGGGUUUGUCAAUAUAAGGUCUGAAAAUCUGCGAGAGUGAAGGUUCCGCAGCCUCUCCAGACAAACUGUUUCAGUGUUUGACCACCCUCGUUGCAAAUAAUGAUUCUCUGUGUCUAUCUGGGAUUUCCACUGUUGCAGGCUCUAUCUGUUGUCAGUGUGCUGUGAAUCUCUGAAGACUGUGGAUUUUGUCUUUAUAAAUGCCAAUUUGCCUACUGAAGAGAGAAUUAGUUCUCUUUUAGCAGUCUAAUUUUCAUGCUACACAAAUUCAGCUCCCUAGUUUAACCUUAUUUUCCGUGUUCUCCAGUCCUUAGCCAUCUUGCUGCUCCUCCAGUUUUUCAUUAUCAGUUGUGUUAGGGGUUUCCUUCCUCCGAGAAAGACAUUCCCUUGAUUUGAAGACAGACUUAAUAGGAUUGCUAACUUAUGGCGCUUAGGUGACAUACGGCUUUGAAGCCUCUAAUAUGUGACUUGAUUGCUCUGGCAACUCUGUAUCUGGGUUAUGUAGGAUGGUGCUGGCGUGACACCUUUCAAAUAGUCGAAAUUUUUCAUUACUAUAUGAGUGUAAGGUUCUCCAGUUGGAACCCUUACAACAUGUUACUAGCCUGACUGAGACCUGGCUACCUAUUUAACCAAACCUUGCCCUGCUAAUGUGGUACUUCCCAAGCUAGCUGCAAAGUGAAAAAGCUGUAGUAUUGCAUCUACUUUCUUUUAUUGGGCAGGAUAAGUCAGGUAACAUAGAUGCCACCACAAGGGCAACAUGUGUAUUCCAAGAAGCUUUGCUGACAAUCUAAGGUAAAUCUGGUAAAAAUAAAACAAUUCUCCAGUCUAGGAGACAAACAGUCAACUCAGGAAUGGAGGAGGCAUUGCAAAACCACUUCAAAGUCUGUUCAUCUGUCACAGAAAAUCCAGCUAUCGUAGAAACUCUCCAGUUAAAACUUAACUCUAGUACCACUUAAACUAGAUGAUACAGGCUCUCAGUUGGUUUGAACAUGCCAUAACUAUUUCUAAUUUAUUAAGAGAUGAACUUCCUUUAGGGAAAGGCUUUGUUUCUGACAGAAAAAUGAUUUUAUCCAACACAAAAUUAGCAUUCAUUUAGCAAGGGUUUUGGAACAACAGCCUGUGGAAUAAUGAAAGCACUUCAACAUCUACAAAACUGGUAGAAGACUGAUUAAUACUUGAGCAGACGAGCUAAAAGUAUUUCUCUCCUAGUAGGUAGUGUCAUUUGCAUGUAUGCAGAAUUCUGAGUGGUUUUUAAUCUUUAUCACAGGGAUGUGUUUAUUUAUGUAAAUCUUAAGUCUGCUAAUGAACACUAUGCAUUCCUGAUAUAUUAAUCCCUGUUUACUGUUUACUUUCCCUAUAGGAAGAUGGAAGCACUUUGGUGAUUGGUACUCCACUUAAAAUAAAACAGAAAACAAACUUUUCUUCCCAAAUAGCUGUGGUAGUUAAUUAUUCUGUUCUAGUGCAACGUAUGUAGUACUUUGAAAAUUAUUGGUAGCAUUGUAUUUUUACCCACUGAAGGCCCUCUGUGAUGGUGCUGUAGCCCCUGCAUCUUUUGAGAAUACUGUUAGCAGCAGCCUUCUUUUGGAGGACUGUGCAUCUUGAGAAAAUGAUGGAAAUGUUCAGGGUUCGCUUAAUAUUUAAAAAAAAUAAAUAUAUCAGUACUUGGGCUUAAAUUUCUAAUUUCAGUCAGUUCUGAAUUAUAAAGUCAGCUUAGAAUGGUUUGAUUUUUAAGAGGAAACCAUUUGGGCAUCCCCUACAUGUGUCAUGAUGGUAAAGAAGGCUGUUCCAGACAAAAUUAUUGCAUAAGGACUGUGUUCUCAUUAUUGUGAACCCAAGUGAGUACUAUGAACUUGAACACACAACACUCCUGUGUAAAGCUGUGGAGCUGGCACUUUGAAAAGGUAGCAUAAAUGGUCUAGGUCUACCCAAAAACACAAUAAAAAGAUAUUACUCUAAAAUUACAAGAUAUCUGUAAGAUGAACAGACAACUUGUAUACAAAAAAGGCAACAAAUGCUUCCCAUACUUCUUAUGCAUCAUGCUGUGCCAUAUGACUAGUCAAAUGCUUAUACAGAAAUAUGUCUCACUAUAUUAUCAACAGAUUUAACUAAACCCUUCACCUGGGUGGUAAUUUUUAGAGAGAAGGUUCCUAUUGGCACCAAGCCAAGAUACAAAGAAAGAUACUUUCAAAUCUUUUUUUUUUUGCAGUGCAGUUUAAGACCUAAGAAAUAUUUUCUUUUUAUAUAGAACAUUUUCAAGCUAAUGGCAACUUAUAGGUGGAUUUCUAAUAUUCUUCUGCAUUUAAGAGUAGAUUGUCAAGUUAUGACAAAUAAUGAUAAUGCUGUGUAUUUUGUAAAUGGUGAAAAGAAGCUUGUCUUCUACUAUCCAUCAAGCAGAUGUUUUAUUUCAUGAAUCGUUAUUACUGUUCAUAAAAUCACUUGUUUGGGUGAACAGUCAUCAGGUAGAAAGAAAAAAUGUUAGAUAACUGGAGUUGGAAGUACAGUAUUCCAAACAAGUCGUUUCUCAACGUUAGUCAAUAGGUGAACUGAUUUCUAUUUUGUUUAUUUUCCGUAGAAAUUCUAUGAAAUUCCUUUAAUCCUGUUUUGGAAAGGUAGGGGAUAUUAACACAUUCAGAAUCUUAAUAGAAAGUCAUUUUCUAAGCUUUUGUGAGCUAUUGUUGUGGAAAUUAAACAGAACAAACAUAGUGGUGAAAUUCAUUGUCUACAUAAUCUGGACUUUCCACUUGAGACCCUAGCCCAAGCUUCCAAGAAGAUGAACAUACUUUCCAAGUAGUAGGUUGUUUUGAAGUUGUUCUGGAUUUUUGAAGUUGUUCUGGGUUUUAAGACAACGAAGUAAGGUCUGUAUCCUUUUUGAGCUUGAAAUAUAUUGUCCUCUUGAAGAAGAUGUAGUGCUUAAGCUGUCUUCUCAAUAAAUGGUUCAUUUGCUUUGAUACUAGAAAACGUGUUACCAGAUCUCUCAGUUUUGCCUUCUGACUAACUGGAGGAUUGUGUUGCUUCUUUCCCUCCCCUAAGAAAACACAAGAGAUAAGACUUUUUUGGUUCACUCAAUCAGAAAUUGUGACUCUUUUGCAAUAGUUUACAGGGAAAAGGAAAAAAAAAUAAAGUAAUCACUGUAUUCUUGACUGUGAAAGUCAAGAAAAACAGGCAGUUGAUACAGUGAUUUGACAAGGCUGAAUGGUUGGUUGAUAAGUAGUGGAGUUGAAAUGGAAAUUAGAUCAUCUCCAGCACAAGUCUGGUACAUUGUUCAGUAUCUUGUGAUAGGAAUAAUGGCAGAUCAUGAAGGAAGAUUUAUAGGAGUUGGACUCGAUGAUCCUCCUAGGUCCCUUCCAACUCAGGGUAUUCUAUGAUUCUAUGUGUCUUUGUGCACACAAACAUAAACAGUGAAUAGGAAAGGAAGAUUUAGAGCAAUUGCAGAGUUUGGUUUUAAUUGUGGGGAACUUGUUUGUUUGUUUAAUUAUUAGUAUUUUUUUUUAUUUCCUUCUCAUUCCCUCCUCUUUCCUUCGGCCAAAGACAUGUGCAUGUUGUCCUGUUGGUGAAGAGGCAGAGCUUGCAUUGAAUCUCCAGUUGUCCCAUAUGGUGUAGAGAAUUUGUUGCUACUAUAUUCUCAUUCUGAAGUCUGUUUUGUUCACUCCUUUCUUCUCAUUCAGUGCAUUUUUGUUUUUAGAGGUGGGUGCAUAUUUGCUAGCGAAGUUCUGCUUUUGUUGUGUGGAAAUUUUGGAAUCUCCAGGCUUUUGGCCUUCACCAUACCUGGAUCUGAUGUCUGUCUUCAUGCAUCCUCACUGACUGUCAGAUGUUGAGAAUAUAUCUGACUACUCAGCUGAAUUCAGUAUUAUAUACACACUGUGUGCUUCUUCUCACCUUCAAUCCACUGCCUGAAUAACCAGAAAUAUUAUGUACUUUGCAGCAUAUUUGUGACUUCAAUAGAGUUAAAUAGCAUACAGUGAUUUACAGUACAUGAUGAACCACAGAUUCUUCAAGAAUCUGAUCAUUUUGACUUAAUUUUUGGUGAGGUUGUCUCUCUGCCAAGUCCAGUUUUGAUUCUCUCUUCAGGAAUUAAAGAUUAGAAGGGAAGGAAGCCAGAGAAACAAAACAAUUCUUAGUGCCAACUAUUUCUUAGUUUUAAGAUUCUGUUCUUGGCAUGAGAAAUCCUUACUUUCUGUAGUCCUUCUGCAACAUCCUAACUAUCCACUUACCCACGUGACUUUGAGGCAGAGAAAUGGAUCACACCAAUACAGUCUCUUGAUAUCUACCUGUCUUAAGACGCAGAACCAUUGAAUCACCAAGGUUGUAAAAGACCUCCAAGGCAUCCAGUCCAACCAUCCACCUAUCACAGUAUUUCCUCAGUUACAUCCUAUUACAUGUUCUAGGAUGGUCAGACUAAUAACAUGCAUUGCUCCCUAGCAGAUGUUAUGGAAAGGAUUACGAGAUGCUACUUCAGAUGCAGAGAAAUCGAUGGCUUGCUUACUACAUGAGAGAGAAACCACUUUGGCCUGUAUUAUUCUGUUCAGUAAUUACUGGUGGCACCUUCCUCGGUUAAAAUCAGAAUCAGCCAUGCAUUACAAAGAUAUGCAUUUGUAUAGCAAGCUUAUGAAGACGUUUCCUUACCUGAAGUAAUGCUGAUGUGUAGAUGAUGGGGCAGUCUAGCCAAGACUGGCAAUGUGCUUCACAGUCUUCAAACUGAUACAAGACCUGGCAUUAUUGCAUUGCAAGAGAAAGGCUGACCUCUCUGGCCUCAGUCUUGGAAGUUCAAGUGUAGUCAGGGUUGCGCUGUAAUAGUCAGAGUUGAGGAAUUUUUUGUUCCAGGAAAUCCAAUAGGAUCACCUCUUUCCUGAUCCCAGAAGACAAGACAUAUCACUUUACUCUCUAAAGGCUGCAUCUUAAACUUCUUCAACAGGGAAUUUAUAUGUUCCCACUUCAUGGGCUGCCAUUUUGACUCCAAUCACAGUGAUGAUGCCAUGUCUGGUCACUGAUAAUGAUGCAGUCCAGGAAACUGUCACCGUCAGCCUUGUUUUGGUUCUGGCAAGCUAACAUACAGUGUUCCCGUGUGAGCAUUUGCAGGACCUACCUGGCACAAACUUCACUGCUGUUGUUUCCAGCAUAUUGAAGCCAAUAUUUAGCUCUGUAUGCCAUUCCCUGGUUGUAAUCCACUGGUUUGUGCAGAUGAGCUGAUUGAGACACUCCUACUUUUGUGGUGUGAGAUCUGUGCAGGGCCAUCUGGAACAUAGCUUGUCUUUCCUAUUGCUGUUGCUGCUGCCAAAACACACAUUCCACCACCUCACCGUGCUGCUUGGUUGUCCACUGUUUGGUCUCCAUAAAUGUUCAGCAAGUGAUGAUGAAUGCUAAUGGGUGCCAUUUUUUCUGCAUGGAGGAAUUCAGUUCCACACUUCUGGUUCAUACACACUCCCAUGUCAGAUGCCAUUUUGUUAGAUUGCCCCUUUCUCUGCUGCCGUAUGUCACACAGCAACAACAUGUAAUAUUGGCAGGAAGGUUUAACCUCUACUGCCAUACCACCACCAUCCACGUCUGGUACUGUGGCCCAAUACAAUAAAAUAGGAGGCAUUACUUUCUGAGUAGCCCUUGUUCUUUGAGUUAUAGACUAUUUCCAUAUCACUUUCAAAGGUGUACUUCUAGUAUUUUGUAUCAACAUUGCUAAAGCGUCCUUUUAACUUGCUGGUUCUAGCUACGUUUUCUUAGUCUUUGCUAUCAUGUUCAUUAUGUUGAUGCAGCAAGAGGCUGGAUCAGAAAACUGGUCUGAAGGGUGAGCUGACAAGAAAGGGAUGGGGAAAAAAAAUGCAAGGGGAAGGGAGUACAUAUUGCUGUGUUUCACAGAUCUCUACUAACACAGAAAUGACAGAGGGUAGAAAUGAGGGGCUGAAGAACAUGGGUCUAGGAUUUGUAACUGGAAAAAAAUGUACAGGGAUCCUUUACUUUCAGUGUCAACUGAAUCCCAUAGUUAUGUACAACAAUUUUAAUGGUUUUAGAGGAGAGAGAAUAUUUUAAAAGGAUAAGAAAAUAUGAAAACUGUGUAGGGAUGGGGUCAGGAAGGCCAAGACCCAACUGGAACUGGACUUGGUAAGGGCUUCAAAGAAGAAUAAGAAAGGCUUUGACAGAUACAUCAACAAGAAAAGGAAAGUCCAGAAAGGUGUACUCUCCCUUGUGAGAAAUACAAACAGUCAGUACAGUGGACAAGGAGAAGACUGAGAUAUUCAACUUGUUUGCUUCUGUCUUCACUAGUGACUGCUCUUCACACACUUGAGCAGAUGGUUCAGAAGGUGGGAACUGGGGGAGCACUGUCCCCCAGUAUGUAAGUGAAUAUCAGAAUCACAACCACCUGAGGAACUCAAACAUCUGUAAGUCUGUGGGUCCCAAUGAGAUGCAUCCCAGAUUCCUGAGGGAACUGGCUGAUGUAAUGGCCAAGCCACUCUCAUUGAUAUUUGAAAACUCAACUCAUGGCAGUGAGGUGGACUCCCUGGUGACUGGAAAAAAGGCAAGGUCACACUCAUUUUUAAGAAGAGUAGAAAGGAUGGCCCAGAGAACUACAGACAUGUCAGCAUUGCCUUCUGAGGAAGAUCAUGGAGCUUGGACCAUGGAGAUCCUCCAGAAUGCUAAGACAUGCUAAAACAUAUGAAAGAAAGGGAGGUGAUACGGGAUAACCACAAGUGCUUCACCAAGGGCAGGUCCUGCCUGACCAACCUAGUGUCUUUUAUGAUGGCGUAACUGCAUACAUGGACAAGGGAAGAACCACUGAUGUCAUCCAUCUGGGCUCCAGUAAGGCCUUUGACAUGGUCCCAUGUAAUGUCCUCCUCUCCAAAUUGGAAAGAUCCAGAUUUGACAAGUGGACUGUUCAACGGAUGAAAAACUGGCUAUGAGAUCAUACCCAGAAAGUGGUGGUCAACGUUCUGUACUGGUACUAAUGUCGUUUAAUAUCUUCAUCGGUGAUGUCGACCAUUGGAUCAAGUGCACCUUCAGCAAGUUUGCAGAUGGCACCAAGCUGUCUGGUGCAGUCAACACAACUGAGGGAUGGGAUAUCAAUAGAGAGACCUAAGCACGCUUGAGCAGUGGGCCUUGGUGAACUCAUGAGUGAACUCAUGAGGCAAAGACAAGAUUUGCAACUGGGUCAUGGCAAACCCCAUUAUCAGUACAGGCUUGAGGAUGUAAGGAUGGAGUACAGCCCUGUCAAAAAAGACUUGGGGGUACUGGUGGAAAGCUGAAAAUGAGCCAGUAGUAUGCCCUCACAUCUCAGAAAGCCAAUUGUAUCUUGGGUUGCAUCAAAAGGAGAGUGGUGAUCAGGGAGAGGGGAGUGAUCCUGUCCCCCUGCUCUGCACUGGUGAGACCUCACUGGAGUACUCUGUCCAGACGUGGAGUCCUCAGUGCAGGAGAGACAUGGACAUCUUGGAGCGUGUUCAGAGAAGAGCCACAGAAAUGAUCCAAGGGAUGGACCAUCUCCCUAAGAGGACCGGCUGAGAGCUGGCACUGUUCAGCAUGAAGAAAAGGCUCCGGGGAGAAAUGAUAGCAGCCUUUCAGCAUCUAGACAGGGACUAUAAGAAGGAAGGGGACAGACACUUUAGCAGUCUGUUGUGACAGGGCAAGAGGAAAUGGUUUCCAACUAAAAGAGGGGAGACUUAGGUUGGAUAUAGUCUCUCUUUUUUUUUUUUUUUUUUUACAGUAAGGGUAUGGAAGCACUAGAGUAGGUGGUCCAGAGAGGAGGCGAAAGCCUCAUCCACGAAGACAUUCACAAUCAGGCUGGAGGGGCUCUGAGCAACGUGAUUUAAUUGUAGGUCUCCCUGUUCGUUGCAGGAGAGCUGGACUAGGUGACUUCUAAAUGUCCCUUCCAACUCAAAUGAUUCAACGAAAAUGAAAAAUAUUUUCCAGGACAUUAAAUCCUUUUUGCUUGAAGUUUUGCUUUUGGUUUCGUGGGGUUUGAAUUCUAAGAAUAUUUCUUAUUGAUUUGGAAUCAAUUUAUUUCUAUGUUGACUUAGUAGAAAUUUAUGUCUCCAUAAAACAUAAAAAUGAGAAAGAUGGGUAAAUGCGUAGAUGUCAUGUCAUAGUCUGAGUUGGUUUUUUGUCGUGCUUUUGUUUAGUCUAUCUAAACACCCUUGUAUUUUUUUCCAAGUUGAAUGUCUGCUAAAAUGCUUUCCUGCUUUAGGUCUCUUCCUUUUUGUUUUCUCAGCACACUCAAACACAACACAGAACACAGCCACAGAAGAAGAGACAAACUAAAUUUUAUUUUUUCUUAAAUUUGAACAUAUGGAUGGUCUCUUUUCCCCUGGAGAAAUAUCAAUUCAUCUCAAGGAGUUCAAUCUGGAGCAAGAUAUUCUGCCUUUUUAAGGAAGAUAGCCAAGAAAUGCUGGGAGAUCCCUCUGUUGGAAAAACCUUUUCCACUUAAAAGAAACAUUUUUUCUUUAUAUGAGCAGGAGUUGAACCAACUGCUCUCCUCCUGAAGCCACCAUGGCAGUGAGGCAUUGCCACCACAGUGCUGAGACAGAGUAAGAGGAUAUAGAAAGGGUUCAUUGCUCACUGUUCAUCAGCCUUGUGUACUUUCAAAGUGAACUAUAUCUGUGUCAUGCCAGCAAUGUCAGCAGUAUUUCCUGGAGAAAGAAACCUAUUGGCAGGUUUUGGAUUUCAUGGUUGUUUAGAGUCUGGUUGAGUACGCUCUUAAUGUAACGGAGGACCUCCAGCAAAUAAAGCAGAAGUGUCCAGGAAACCCCUUGUGAAAUCAGUAUUUCAAAUAUGAAUAAAACACUCAAGUUGAAAAUAAACAAGCAAACAACUACUUCAGAGAAUAAACCCAGAGUCUUGCCAUACAGGGAUUUCUACCCCAAAUGUUGCCCUACAUAUUAAGGAGAAUCAGGAAAGAUUGAAUUUUUACCUUGGGUGAAUAAAAAAACGUGCAUCCUUAGCAAAAAGGGUACACAACUGGAUUGUCCGUUUCAUGACCUACUCUGCGAUGAAGAAUGAAAAGAUCCAUCAGGGUUCUAGCUGAAAUUCAAAGAAGGAAGAACAGCAGAGAAAGCAGCUUUCUGUCAUUCUUAUGUGAGAAUUUUGCUAAAACAUGCAAAGCAGAAUCCUUUUCUCUUGCUUAAUAGUUUGGAGAGAAUAUCCUAUACUGUCCAUCAGAAAGCAUAUCAAUAUCUGCAACUUUUGAUGUAGUUCUAGAGAGAAAAGAGACAGGAACAAUACCGCUCUUCUGACAGGUAUGUCUUCUUCCCUCUCACACCCAUGGCUAUUCAGUAUCCAAAAAAACCCCAAACAAAAAGCCCAUCAUAUGGAAAUCACUUAAAAAAAAAAAAAAAAAAAAAAAAGAAAGAAAGGAAGAAAGAAAGAAAAGAAAGAAAGAAAGAAAAAAGAAAAAGAACCUACCAAAUUUUAGGUAGAAUCCUUCUUUAGUCAUAUCACUCUUUUUAGAACAAGAACUUCAUAGUUAGGCUGAAAGUUUCUUUUAGGCGUAACUGAAAGACUGCUGGUGUUAUACAGUUGACCUAAAAUUAUAUUCUGAUAUGCUGAUAAAUUAAUAAAGCUUGUUGCCAAACUACCCCAUAAAUAGUGUAAGAAAAGAAUUUUUUUUUUUUUUUGGUAUUCUUUUCUCCUCCAGUGGUUAUCUAUGAAUUUACUCUAUCAUAGCUAUUUUUAUUAUUGUAACUACUUCAUUUAUUGGACUAAUACUAGCAUAGGUUAGUAAUCCAGCUUUUGCUAGAAGGCAGUAAAAAUCUUAAAUGUUAAUCUGAUCUCAGAGCCAGAAGACAAUCCUCAUAUUAUUUAUAGUUGAUGCAACACCAAUUUAUUGUUAUGACAAUGCAUGCGAAGUCUUGCUAUUUGAGGAAAAACACUAUGAGUAUUGUAGAAAGGGGGUAGUAUUUCAGUUUGAUAUUUUCAUGUCAUCAUGUCAUUCUUUUGGAUAGUUUACUUUUCUGUGUCUUUUUAAUUUUUUUAAAAAAUCAAAAUGUCACAACUUGAAAGUAGUGGGUUUUUUUAAUCCGUUUUCUCAUAAAUGGAGGGAAGGAUUUUAGCACUAUAUUGACACAUUCAGAGUCUUAACUGCUCCUCUUCUUUCUACAGAAAACUGUAGAAAUUUGUAUUCUUUUGAGGGAGAGAAUAAAAUUUAUAGAAGCAUUUGUCCUCUCAAAAUGGUAAAGACUGAUCCUUUGAGGAAAUCACCCUCUCUGAGUGAUGUUGCACAGAUGCAUUAUUUUUCUCUAUAAUUUUCCGUGGAGUUUAGAAAGACAAGCUAUCUAAAACAGCUGUAUAAGUUCAUGUACUUGUGAUGAUGGUGCUCCCAGUUUGUUGCUCCAUCAGCUGCCUUUCUCCCUCCCACUAGGAUAACAUUAAAGAUCUUUUUUUUUUUUUUUUUUUUUUAAUCUUACCAAUUAGCCCUGCGGGGUAUGUAGUCAUUUUCCUGCAAGCCAACAUUCUUUGUUAUCCCUCUUACUCUUUCCAGCUUGUCAGGAGCAAACAAGCAUAGCCAAUAAAUGUUUCUUUCUUUAUUCUCUUGAGUAUUAUUUCCCUCAUAUGGUGGAGCACCGACUCCUACUCUUGCCUUUUAAGGCAAGUUUCCAAAACAUGUAAAUAUCCAGAAUAUUUUUUAUGGAAAUAGUACAGGAGAAGUACAUUGAAUACUUGACAACUGUAUGCCUUCAUGCUUGAUAGGUUCACCAUUUCAGUUACCACAGAAGUGCUCAAACUUUAGAGUCUGUUUUGUUUGUGGACUGCAAUAGCAACUGUUGCUGCAUCAGUAAAGUGACACUUUCUACCUCCUUCUGUUCACAAGAUACUGCCAGAUACUGUGCACGGUUGAUGGUUGUGAAUGACUGCAAACCGGGAUUCAUGUCCAUUUUUGAAAAGAAUAUUCCAUAGGAGGGGGGAAAAAGACAAACAAACAAACCCAAAACCUACUGUUUUAGGCUUACUAUGAGUGGUGUCUUCCAGAGUACUUCCUGUCCAUCUCGCAUAAUUGUGUCAUUGGGAUCCUUAGUGGAGAGCCUCUGAAUUCAGCAGACAACUUACACCUCCAGAAUUCUUUCUUGACCUUGAUCUCAUCUGAGGCUUAAAGUACCUUCAUCUAAAAGGUGAAGGUGUCUUUAUUUGUCAAGAAGAACACCUGUGUGUUCUUCCAUUUUAUUUUAAAAUUCUGUCUGAGAAUACCUAUACCAAAAUGUGUUCAGUUAGACUGUG